UAAGAAAACCCUUUCCUUGUUUAUUCUGCUGCUACUGCUACUGGUCUGCAAAAGUGAGGAGUGUCCCCGCCUUCCAAAGAAUCUCACUUGCUACACUGACUACAAUAGAAACAUCACAUGUUUGUGGAAAAGCAAAUACGUGUCUGAUGACACUGCAUGCACGAUAGAUGCUCACUAUAAAUCUCGACGCCUUUCUUACAGCGCUUCCUGUCACCUAAAGCCUGUUGAUGUCUCCAGACCAGCCCGGAAGAAGUGCUCCCUGAUCUUUAAAAUUCAAUACACUUUUCUGUCUUUCCAUGAGUUGUCCCUUAAUCUGAACUGCAACCAAAUGAAGAGUGGAAUUACUUCCUUCAAGCCAUCCUGUCAUAUAAAGGUGAAUCCUCCUGCGGAGCCAAAAGUCAACUUCACCUCUGUUUCCUGGUUGUCCCAAGUCCACAAACAUGAAAGGAUCAGUUCAUACAGAAGUGAAGUGCAGUGGAAGAAGCAGGAUCAGU